rnacentral:lncRNA from 1 species
UUUUCCAUUUGUACUCCCUAGAAUUUGCGUCUACAAAUUAAAUAAACACCACUCUGUAAUUUCUUAGAUUUUUUUUGAAAUCAUUACAGCUCCCUCAUUCUCAUUCUCAAGUGGUUGAUCAUCACAGUAUUACAGUUACAGAGCUUCACAACCAUUCACAAUCUCACACCUAUUAUAAUCACACUCCUCUGUUCUUCAUUCAUCUCUUAUGGUGC